UGGUGGGGUGACUUGUCUGCUUAAUUGCGAUAACGAACGAGACCUUAACCUGCUAAAUAGCCCGCAUUGCACCGGCAGUGCGCUGGCUUCUUAGAGGGACUUUCGGCUCAAGCCGAAGGAAGUUUGAGGCAAUAACA
rnacentral:rRNA from 1 species